UUAGAGUUUGAUCCUGGCUCAGGACGAACGCUGGCGGCAUGCCUAAUACAUGCAAGUCGAACGAUGAAGCUUCCUGCUUGCAGGAAGCGGAUUAGUGGCGAACGGGUGAGUAACACGUGGGGAAUCUGCCCAUGAGCGAGGAAUAACAUUCGGAAACGGAUGCUAAUACCUCAUAAGUUCUCUGACCUCCUGGUCAUUGAAUAAAAGACGGCCUUUGUGCUGUCACUCAUGGAUGAUCCCGCGGCGUAUUAGUUAGUUGGUGAGGUAAUGGCUCACCAAGACCAUGAUACGUAGCCGACCUGAGAGGGUGAUCGGCCACACUGGGACUGAGAACGGCCCACACUCCUACGGGAGGCAGCAGUAGGGAAUCUUCCACAAUGGGCGCAAGCCUGAUGGAGCAAUGCCGCGUGAAUGAAGAAGGUCUUCGGAUCGUAAAGUUCUGUUAUUAGAGAAGAAUAAGUUGAGGGGUAACUAUCUCGACUUUGACGGUACCUAACCAGAAAGUCACGGCUAACUACGUGCCAGCAGCCGCGGUAAUACGUAGGUGACAAGCGUUGUCCGGAAUUAUUGGGCGUAAAGGGAGCGCAGGCGGUUGGAAUAGUCUGAUGUGAAAGCCCACGGCUUAACCGUGGAAGGUCAUUGGAAACUGUCCAACUUGAAUACAGAAGAGGUAAGUGGAAUUCCAAGUGUAGCGGUGAAAUGCGUAAAUAUUUGGAGGAACACCAGUGGCGAAAGCCACUUACUGGUCUGUAAUUGACGCUGAGGCUCGAAGGCGGGGGCACCAAACAGGAUUAAAAUACCCUGG
rnacentral:rRNA from 1 species